GAAAUGCGAUAAGUAGUGUGAAUUGCAGAAUUCAGUGAAUCAUCGAAUCUUUGUACGCACAUUGCGCCCCUUGGUAUUCCAUGGGGCAUGCCUGUUCGAGCGUCAUCUACACCCUCAAGCUCUGCUUGGUGUUGGGCGUCUUUGUCCCGCCUCCGCGCGCGGACUCGCCCCAAAUUCAUUGGCAGCGGUCCUUGCCUCCUCUCGCGCAGCACAUUGCGCUUCUCGAGGUGUUGCGGCCCGCGUCCAGAAAGCAAUCGUUACCGUCUUUGACCUCGGAUCAGGUAGGGAUACCCGCUGAACUUAAGC
rnacentral:misc_RNA from 1 species